rnacentral:rRNA from 1 species
CGUGUAGGCGGCCUUGCAAGUUGGGUGUGAAAGCCCUCGGCUUAACCGAGGAAGUGCGCCCAAAACUACGAGGCUUGAGUGCCGGAGAGGGUGGCGGAAUUCCCGGUGUAGAGGUGAAAUUCGUAGAUAUCGGGAGGAACACCAGUGGCGAAGGCGGCCACCUGGACGGUAACUGACGCUGAGACGCGAAAGCGUGGGGAGCAAACA